GGGCGCAACUGGGCGGCGGGCUGGGCCAGCUCAAGCCUGGCCAGCGCCGGCGCGGCGUCGGCCAGCGCCUG
rnacentral:tRNA from 1 species